rnacentral:rRNA from 1 species
GACAGAGGGUGCAAACGUUGUUCGGAUUUACUGGGCGUAAAGCGCGUGUAGGCGGCUUCGCAAGUUGGAUGUGAAAGCCCACGGCUCAACCGUGGAAGCGCAUCCAAAACUGCGUCGCUAGAGUCUCGGAGAGGAAGGUGGAAUGCUUGGUGUAGAGGUGAAAUUCGUAGAUAUCAAGCAGAACACCUGCGGCGAAGGCGGCCUUCUGGACGAUGACUGACGCUGAGACGCGAAAGCGUGGGGAGCAAACAGG